UUCUUAUGUAGACUCGAUCUACCACGUCAUCCGUAAACUAUAGAUGACGUGGUAGACCGAGUCUACCUAAGAAUUUCUCGUCGUAUCAGAUUAAAUUUCUAGUGAUUUGCUCAAGAUAAAUGUGAACUUUAUAAGGUCUACAAUUUCAGAUGGAGAAUACAAAAUGCAUUUCUGGAGAAAAGUGGGAAACAAUUUUGUUUCGUUGAUGUAUUGAAGAAAAUAUUAAAUAAUAUGUAAAAAUUAAUUCAUUUAAUGUAAAUAAAUUAGUUGAAUGCGUAUCUGUAUCAA